rnacentral:lncRNA from 1 species
AAGCCGAAGUCCGUAAGCGUCUGCUACUGGCUGCUAAAGAACUAGGAUGAAGCCUUUGAAGGAGGCUACUAAGAUGCUAAGCAUCUCCGUGGACAGAGACCGAGACUAGGAGGGAGUCGAACCCACUAACAGGAGCAAAUGAACUUGGACAAACCGGAAGAAGUGCUGGUGUUAGAUCGGCUGGGGGAUGCUCGCCUUGUAGCAGAGUAAGGAGGGCGGAAGGAGGGCGGAAGGAGGGGACACACAGAAUACACAGCUCGACUAGUGUAGAGGGGAGGGACCCGGAUGGGGACUGGCUGUGGGUCGAAGGCAAGAGAAGACAAAGUCAUUUAACCGAGUUUCCUUAGGGGAAGGAGAAAAGAAUGCAAUCGUGCUGUAGUUUCAGCGGUGUCCUUAAAGGGAGAGGAAGAAAGGACUAAACCGUAGAAACAGAAAGCCAUUAGGCAUUGGAAUUAAAAUUUUACUCGUUUCUAUGAGAGGACAGGCGUUUGCGUCCAGAUCUGUAGAGUGAGCAGGGUUGUAUGGUUUAGGCAGGGUUGUAUGGUCUUACAACGUUUAGGUGGUAAGUGUGGAGACCUGGUGGACUUGAAGGAUAUGGUAGGCUACACUAAAUGUCCUCUCCAGUUUUCCCCAGCAGAGGAAGGGAUGUAGUGAAAAUUCUAGAAUUUUGGUUUCUUGAAAAAAAAAAAAACCAAAUAUUAUAAGAAGGUGCUUUUAUUUUGAUUCCGGGUAUAGGGACGUAGGGCUGCUUCCGACUGCCUGAAGCAACUGACCAUGAUUUAUUUGCCUUGUGCUCUAGCAGAAUCGCGGUUCUGUCUGCAGCAGAGUUUUGGUAAUUGUGUUAUAUUUGGAACUCUGGGAACUUUUCAGAGGGUAUAUAAAUGUUAGAGCCCGAUAGGCUGGGGGCUGGGGUGGGCCAGUUGUUGGUUGUAUAGGGAGGAGGUUGGUUGUAGUUUGUUAGUAGCUGAGGCCAAAGGAGAAGCAAGAGAAAAGAAAUCAGAUUCGGGGAUCUUCCUAAUCACUCUCUCCCCUCUACUCUUGUUCCUUUCCUGUCUAGUGUUAGGGGGUAGAAAGGGGGGUAAGGAUAAUAAUGGGAGGAAAAAGAGAACCGACAAAGUAGCAAAGACCAGUUACAAAGGGACACGGAGGAUCAGAGAUGUAUGAGGAGAAUUAAAAUUACCCUCAGUCCCAGGGAGGCUAACUGUAAAUAUCCAUGCAUAUGGAGAGCUCUUAGGGCAGCUUCUAGGAAUUUGGCAGAAAUUUGACAUUAGACUAGAACACAGAAGUAGGCUCAGGCAAGAAUUUGACUUUGGGCUAGGACAAGAAAGUAGGCUCAAGAUCUUGAUCAUCUUGUAAGUCCCUGAAUACCACGGGACCUUGUUUAUUGCCUUGUUUGUUCCUUGACUGAAAACUGACCUUAUUCUCUGCAUGUACUUAGAAUGGCAUAAAAACAGACUGGAGAAAAAUAAACCCACUUCAGCCUCUGCACAGGUUUGAGUGGUAUUAAGUCUAA